GCGGCUCCGAACGUCGUUCGAAUGUGGCGUGUGACGCCAGUUUGUGGGCAAACGGGGUCGAGGACCCCAUGCCCGUAGCGUUUUCCGCAUCCCAGAGGCCGAGCGAGGGCUCGUGGGCCGCAACGACAACCCGGUGCGCGAGCGUCACAGAACACGGGCCUCGCUUCGUGGUUCGCCCGUAGCCGCGCCGUGUGAACGGGCAGCGCUAGACGAACGGGGAAGGAUGGCCAAC
rnacentral:misc_RNA from 1 species